GACGAACGCUGGCGGCGUGCUUAACACAUGCAAGUCGAACGGUGAAGCGCCUUCCUUUUUGGUGGGUGUGGAUGAGUGGCGAACGGGUGAGUAACACGUGAGUAACCUGCCCCCUUCUUCUGGAUAACCGCAUGAAAGUGUGGCUAAUACGGGAUAUUCUGGGUCUGUCGCAUGAUGGGUCUGGGAAAGAUAUUGUUUCGGUGGGGGAUGGGCUCGCGGCCUAUCAGCUUGUUGGUGGGGUGAUGGCCUACCAAGGCGGUGACGGGUAGCCGGCCUGAGAGGGUGGACGGUCACACUGGGACUGAGACACGGCCCAGACUCCUACGGGAGGCAGCAGUGGGGAAUAUUGCACAAUGGGCGCAAGCCUGAUGCAGCGACGCCGCGUGAGGGAUGGAGGCCUUCGGGUUGUGGACCUCUUUCGCCAGUGAAGCAGGCCUGCCUCGUUUGUGGGUGGGUUGACGGUAGCUGGAUAAGAAGCGCCGGCUAACUACGUG
rnacentral:rRNA from 1 species